rnacentral:piRNA from 1 species
AGGAGCAGUGUGACUCAGAGAAGGU